CACACACCCCUACACCCCGUCCGUCCGGAUAGGAUGGGACCAGAGCAGAGCAGUAGCCACAUAUCCGUGCACGCCUGACCGCUAAGACUACUUCCUGGACCAAAAGAAUGGGACAUUUCCAGCAACACUUUUCUCCUGCAACCUCGGUCUCGCUGACGCCGCGGAUAAUCACUUAAUAAUGACCGCGUAUGAUCAAUAACAUUCGACCACUUUUUCCUGUAGUUAAAGACAGCGAUUGAUUGCCGAUUGACUCCCCCCCUCUCCCUCUCCUCCUGCUUUUUCUCCCUACACUUCGGGAAUGUCGCUAUGUGGAAGCCCGCUGCAGACACGGAGGACUCCAACAACAAGAGAUUUUGAAUUGUUUUCGCACAGCCUCUGCGUGCUCGCCGCGUUAUUCCUCGAAGCUAAGGAGAGCAGCCCGUGCUCGGUCCGGAGGCGAGUGAAUCUGGCUUUUUCAAAUCAGUGACUGUAUCCUGUGACCGUCAAACCGUCUCUAUACUUUGAUGCUCUGCCUUCGUGGCCGCCGUGCCAACUUCGGCUUCAGUGUGUGCGUGUGAUUCUUUCUAAAGGACAAGCAGCAGCAGCGGCAGCAGCAGCGGCGGCAGAAGAAGAAGAAGAGGAAGAGGAGAAGGGGUAAAAAAAAAAAAGACUAACUUAAUCACCCGUUGCCUUUUCUUGUUGCUCUCGAUGAGUAGUCUAACAUGCGGAAAAUACGGGAACCGAGUCACUGGUGGAUUUUAACCCUGCUGUUUUUAACCUUGCCCGAACACAAAGACUGUCAACCCGUUGCAUCGGGUGACCAACCUCGCUUCACUGGAGGCAGCCGUCCUGGGAGCACCGGCGUAAUGAGGGAGAGGAGGACAGCUGGUGACCCCUACUGGUCCUAUUCAGGAAGCCAUGGGCCUCGAGGCUGGGCAGCUUCUUACCCAGAGUGUGCUGCAAAGGACCAGUCUCCUGUGGAUAUUGUAGAUGAACAAGCUCUGGUGCUGGACGAAUACCAGAUGCUGGAGCUCGACAAGUUCAACAUAGAGUCAUCCAACCAGACCACCAUGAAAAACACUGGAAAGACAGUUGCUGUGCUGCUGAAGGAUGACUACUUUGUAAGAGGCGCUGGACUGCCAGGGCGCUUUAAGGCUGAGAAGAUGGAGUUUCACUGGGGCCAGAGUAAUGGAUCAGCAGGCUCAGAGCACAGCAUAAAUGGCAGAAGGUUCCCCGUAGAGAUGCAGAUCUACCUUUACAAUUCAGACGACUUUGACAGCCUCAACGCGGCCAUGAAGGAAAGACGCAUCAUCGCCGCCAUGGCUGUCUUCUUUGAGCUUGGGCAAAAAGACAACCCAGCUGUGGACCCAAUCAUCCAGGGAUUGAAAGGAGUGGUGCACCAUGAAAAGGAGACCAACCUGAGGUCAUUCAUCUUGAGGGAUCUGCUGCCUUCGUCGGUGGACAGUUAUUACCGAUACACUGGCUCUUUGACCACUCCGCCCUGCAGCAAAGUAGUGGAGUGGAUCAUCUUCUCCAGGCCCGUGUAUCUGUCCCACUCACAGCUGGAUGCUUUUUACUCCAUCUUCACUACGGAACAACAGGACCACGUCAAGUCUGUCGAGUACCUGACAAACAACUUCAGGCCCCUGCAGGACCUGAACAAUAGGAAGAUUUUUAAGUCGGCUGUGAAAGAUGCAUGGCAGAAAGAUUUGACUGAGAUAUUAGGAAGCCCACACAGCACAGAGGCUUCUAGAGUGUGCAGCAGUGCCCCAGUGAGCAUGAAGAUCCAACCGCUGAAUGAGACAGCCUUGAUGGUGAGCUGGGAACGACCUCUGACCAUCUACCACCCCCCCAUCACCAGCUACAUGGUCUCCUACAGCUGGGUGAAACGGGACGUAGCAGAUGAAAAGACUUUUUUAAAGACAGGAGACCAGAGCAUGAAAGCGGUCAUUACUAACGUGUCGCCAGACCUGCUCUACCUGUUCAGGGUGCAGGCAGUGUGUCAGCAUGACCUACGCAGUGACUUCAGUCAGACGCUGCUGUUCAGAGCAAAUACAACAAGGAUCUUUGAAGGAUCUCGCAUUGUGAAGACUGGGAUGCCCACAAUAUCCCCAGCUUCAUCUGCAGACAUGGCUCCCAUCAGCUCCGGCUCGUCCACCUGGACGUCCUCUGGCAUACAUUUCUCCCUCGUCUCAAUGGCAACAGGGAUGGGCCCCUCCUCCAGCGGCAGCCAGGCCACAGUGGCAUCAGUGGUGACCAGCACCUUGCUGGCAGGCUUGGGCGUCGGUGGUGGGGUGAUCUCCUCCUUGCCCAGCUCUGUUUGGCCCACGCAGACUCCUCCCGCCAGUCAGAACCCGACACAUCCAUCCACCCCACCUUCGAAGCCCAGCACUGAGCAGGCGGCGGGUCAGGGUGCCGAGAGCGAGAAGCAGGCAGAGGACAAACCGGCCGCGGGUGAGGGGGAGGAGAAGGAGGAAGAGAACGGCGAGAAAGAGGAAGAAGAAGAAGAGGAAGAAGAGCUGGAAAAAAGGAAAAAGGACAAGAAUUCACCUGAUAAUGAGGAGAAGCAGGCCAACAGCACAGUGUCCAAAGAGCCUUUAAUCCCUACCCCCGCAUCCACAGCCAAAGAGAAAGGAAAGGGCAAUUCGACAGCCGACGCCGAACCUGCAAGCUCUGGUGACGACCGCUUGGUAAACGAGGAGAAGAGACCCACUGAAGUAAACACGCUAUCCACUCAGGAGCCACAUAAUGACAGCGCAGAGAUGCAAAUUCCCCAGAGCUCCACCGUAUCUCCAAAGAAUAGAAGUGAUGGAAAGGGUCAAUGGCCAUUUUCCGUCCACACUGAUCAAACCAUCUUGUCCAACGUGACGCGGACUCCUCCUCACCCAGGAAUGGGCCGGAUGGUGUGGAUCGUUCCCCUGGUGGUGGUGUCUGCUCUCACUCUGCUGUGCCUCGUCAUGCUGCUGAUCGUGAUGGUCUACUGGAGGAGAUUUUUCCAGACGGCUCAUUUCUAUGUGGAGGAGAGCAGCUCUCCACGGGUGGUGGCCAAUGAGAAUAUCCCAAUCAUCCCUAUACCAGAUGAUAUGGACGCCAUUCCUGUCAAGCAGUUUGUUAAACACGUCAUGGAACUUUACAAAAGCAACAUGCAAGGUUUUGCGGAGGAGUUUGAGGAGGUCCAGCGCUCCACAGUCGACUUAAAAAUCACUGCAGAACAUUCCAAUCAUCCUGACAACAAGCACAAAAACAGAUACAUCAACAUUGUAGCCUAUGACCACAGCAGGGUGAAAUUGCGAGCUUUGGCAGGAAAAGAUGCCAAACAUUCGGAUUACAUCAAUGCCAACUAUGUGGAUGGCUACAACCGUCCCAGGGCUUAUAUCGCUGCUCAGGGUCCCCUCAAGUCUACGUUCGAGGACUUCUGGAGGAUGGUGUGGGAGCAGAACACAGGAAUCAUUGUCAUGAUAACCAACCUGGUGGAAAAAGGGAGGAGGAAAUGCGACCAGUACUGGCCAACGGAGAGCAGCGAGCAGUACGGAAACAUUGUGGUGACGCUGAAAAGCACCAAAGUGCACGCCUGCUAUACUCUGCGCCGGUUUCUCAUAAGGAAUACGAAAGUUAAAAAGGGUCAGAAGGGGAACCAGAAAGGGAAGCUUAAUGAACGCAUCGUGAUCCAGUAUCACUACACUCAGUGGCCUGACAUGGGAGUACCAGAGUAUACCCUCCCUGUCCUCACUUUCAUCAACCGCUCCUCAGCGGCUCGUACUGCAGACAUGGGUCCUGUCCUGGUGCACUGCAGUGCAGGGGUCGGGCGCACGGGAACGUACAUCGUCAUCGACAGCAUGCUGCAACAAAUCAAGGACAAAAGCACAGCCAGUGUCCUGGAUUUUCUCAAACAUAUACGCACACAACGCAACUACCUUGUCCAGACUGAGGAGCAGUAUGUUUUCAUCCACGACGCGCUGAUGGAGGCCAUCCUCAGCAGAGAGACGGAGGUGCCGGCCUGGAAGCUGCACGGCUACGUCAACAGCAUCCUGACUCCCAACUCAACCGGCCGCACACGGCUGGAGAAGCAAUUCAGGCUGCUGAGUCAGUGCAACACACGCUUCGUCGAGUGCUUCAGCGCUCACAAAGACUGCAACAAGGAGAAGAACCGCAACUCCUCAGUUGUUCCCUCGGAAAGAGCAAGGGUUGGACUCACCACCCUUCCUGGCAUGAAAGGAACAGAUUACAUUAAUGCAUCCUACAUAAUGGGCUACUACAGAAGUAAUGAGUUCAUUAUUACCCAGCAUCCUUUGCCCCACACCACCACAGACUUCUGGAGGAUGAUUUGGGACCACAAUGCUCAGAUUAUCGUCAUGCUGCCUGACAACCAGGGGCUGGCCGAGGAUGAAUUUGUUUACUGGCCGAGCCGAGAAGAGGCCAUGAACUGCAUCGCCUUCACCGUUACUCUCAUCAGUAAGGACAGACUGUGCCUCUCCAAUGAGGAGCAAAUCAUCAUCCACGACUUCAUCUUGGAGGCCACGCAGGAUGAUUAUGUUCUGGAGGUGAGACACUUUCAGUGCCCCAAAUGGCCAAACCCGGACGCCCCUCUCAGCAGCACCUUCGAGCUCAUCAAUGUCAUCAAGGAGGAAGCCAUGACUCGAGAUGGCCCCACCAUUGUGCAUGAUGAGUGUGGAGCCGUGUCAGCCGGCAUGCUCUGCGCCCUCACCACGCUGUCCCAGCAGCUGGAAAGCGAGGGCGUCGUUGACAUCUAUCAGGUGGCCAAGAUGAUCAAUCUCAUGAGGCCGGGGGUCUUCACUGAUAUAGAGCAGUACCAGUACCUUUACAAAGCCAUGCUGAGCCUGGUCAGCAACAGAGAGUGCAGCCUGAGUCCCACUCACACGGACACUAACGGAGUGGUGGUGAUUGCAGACGAGUCGGACCCUGCGGAGAGCAUGGAGUCGCUCGUCUGAGGACAUUCCUGCAGGCACUUAAUUUGUAAAAAAAAACAAAAAAAAACACCAAUCCAAGAACUUUUCUGAGGCCUUUUUGCCAGACUAUUGAUUAAACGAAUAACCUUAUUACUUUUUAUACUGAUAAAAAAGGUUUUUUGAUAUUUAUGUUUUUUUUUGUUUAUUUUUCGGUCCUUUAUUUCUUGUCUUUAAUGUUCUCCUGCUGAGCGUUUGCACCUGUUUAAGUUGACAUGAGGAAAAAGCAGCUCUGUCCACUUUGCACUAAACUAUCAGUGUUACUGCCUACACCCAGCGAGUGGAACAAAACCUCGGGGUGGGGGGGGGGUUUCGGACCGCAUCGAGACAAAACCUGAAGCAUGAAGACCAGGAUGAGUUGAGGCGAUCCACCUAAAGUAAAGUCUUAAAUCACUUCAUCACACCGUUUCAUAGCCCAGCAUGUAUUUUUUUGGUUACAGUUUUCAGGCUCCACCCCUCUUUUUAUCACGUGAACAGACUUUCAGCUGCUUCUACAUUAAUGUCCCAAAAUCUCACUGCUGUCCUGUAAAAUGUACUUAUGGCUUUUUUUUUUCUUUUUUUUUUUUUUUGUUAAAAUGUGUUGCAACAUCUAAUGUGAACAUUUAUUGCUUUUUACAGGGAUUUAUAUUGUUGUAUUGUUUUGUAAUAUAUAUAUAUAUACAUAUAUAUAUUAUCUUUAAUAGCCCUGUUAUGUUUAUUUCUGUACUACUAGAUCCAUAUUCCUGAAGGAGGUUCUGUAGCUUGUCAUGUAUGGCCUGCAAAUCUCCAGCCUGAUAUUAUUUUUCAAAGUUUUUGUUGUUGCUUCUCUAACCUCAGCAAAUCACAGCUCAGCGGUUAACACGCAUAUCUGUACCGACACAACGCAAUGCCUACAAGAAAACACACAAAAACAAAACAAAACAAAAAAAAAGAUUCACUCUGCACAAAGUUUUUCAUCUUUUAUUUCGAAGCGUUUUGUCGCAAUGUAAUUCGAAUCUGUUCCCGGCACUGAUCAACAAGCGGAGUCAUUUUAAAAUCAAGGUGAAAACAAAUUUCUUUUGUUGGGUUUUAGCAAAAACUUUCCACAUCAAUUUCAUUUGAUCAAAUCAUUUAUGGGCUUGUUGACGCCUCUGAUUGUUUUUCCUGCCAAGCUGCUAUGAGUCACUGACUUCUCCACAUUGUGUUGUUUUUAGGACAUUCCUGCAGAAAUUCAAGUAGUAGUUAGUUUUGUUUGAGUUUACUGAAGACGAGCAUCUUCACUUGAUCCUCCGGUGAAGAUUUAAUUCAGUGCCUUGGAAGUCAUCCCAGUCUCUAAUUGGUCCAUUUAUUUUAGCAAAAAUGUUACCAUGAAAUUCUGUAUUUUUACCUAUAUUUUGAUAUGUUAAUUAGGUUUAAAUCCAGAGCCAGCCUGAGGCACAAGCAAACUAAACUGCUGCGUACAAACUAAGCUACGUUCUCCAAGCCUGUAGAAUCCACCAAGAACAUUUUAUUUCUUACACUUAAUAAAUCUCAAACAUUAUUUUCUUGUUGUUUGGUGUCGACAAGAAUGAGAUAAGUUUUAAAUCUGCUAUGUUCUUUUUUAAAAUAGUAGAUUGCUUAAACUGAAUAAAUAGAACCUUUAAAUGAUUUAGAUUUUAAAGGAAUGAUACUAGUAUGUUUAUAAACAUAGGACAGAAAAAAUAUUUUUUCUCACACAUUCAAAUGUUUUAGAUCGACAGACAAUGGUAGGCUUAGUAAAUACAAAAUGCAGUUUUCAACUAAUUAUUACAUUUAGUACCAAGCCUUGCAUCCAAAUCAUCAUGAAGAAGAAAUUGCCAUAACUGGUUGAGACAUCCUCGGUGGCAAAACUACCAUCAAAUGGUUGUAUUAACUGGAAAUCACUCUUUUUUUAUCCUUUGGGAAUUUUUCUUUUUUGCAUAAUCCAUUUAAUUUAUGUGCAUUUUAGAAUUUUUAAAAGCAUGAACAAACUACCUACCUGCUUAUGGUCAUGGCACAGCAUCUCAAUUUAAUUUAGGUCCAGACUUUGGCUGGACUUCUCCAAAAUGUUAUUUUUGUUCAGACUGCUGUUUAUUGUUGAACCAUGAACCCUGAUCUUAAGCAUCUGCCAUGCUUUAGCUGUUAAAGUUUCUUCUGUAAUUUCCUGGAUGAGAUGUUGAUGUUGAGGUCUUGGAGUAAUUUUGGUAUAAACACUCUCUGGAGUUCAGUGGAGUUCUACAUGGUUUGAAAGUUAGUUUGUAACCCUUUCCAGAAAGAUAAAUAUCAAUGUCUUUGUUUCUCUUCUGUUUCUGAGUAUCUUUACAUUGGUGCAUGAUGCAUUGCUUUGUAAAAUCAUUUAACCUACUUGUCACUAAAUAGGUUCUAUUUAAGUGAUUUUUAAGUAUAUCUUUUUCCCUUAACAAAAUAAAUCAUUACUUGAAAGCUGUUUAUUCACUUUAGUCUGGAAAUUUUUUCUCCAGUAUUAAAAUUUAUUUGACGAUCUGUAAUGUUCAAUUAUGAUAGAAGAAAUGAGUAAGGAAACAAUGCUUUUUCAUAGCACUCUACUACAAAACCAUGCAAGAUGGUUUAUACUGACUGGUAGGUUAAAUUAAGAGUUACUAAAUUAAUUUCUGCCUGUGGCCCCAUUGAACUUUGGGUCCACCUUGCUUAUAUAGUGGCAUAUUUAGAUUUUUAUUUUUUUUUUGCUGUCAUUGGACAUAAAUGUUUGAUUAUGCAUCCAAAUUUAAUCACAUAAAGAAAAUAUUCUUUGCUGUUAUUUAACUUUUCAAUAAUUUAUAGAAUUUAUUUUCACCUUGACAUAAGCGUCUGCUGAUCAGUGUCUCAUUUUAAAAAAAACAACAAAAAAAGAACUCUGUGAAUAAAUAAAACACGAAAAAAAAAAGUAAUAAUCCAAGGGAGGUGAAAACUUUUCUAUAGACACUGUACUUUCCUUCUUGGUGGGUUGAUGCUUUAUUUGUAACCAAAGAUGUGGUUCCAGUUUGCGACAUGUUAAGUGGUUUUGUCCUAAAAUCUAUUUAACCGACGAGCGUUUGAAAUCAAAUUGUUCCGUACAGAUUUUCCAGUGUCAGAGGUGUGAAUUUUAACCAGAGUUUAAGCAUGUUUCUGUUCGAGCCUCAGGAACUUGCCUUCCGGAGAAAUUUUACUUUUGUGAUGCUUUCCUCACUCUAGUAAACAAGGUUACAAAUUCAAGCUGUAAAAUUGUAUUUUAUCCAGGCCGAAAUUCCGUCUCUGCGUUAUUUUGUGGCUAUAAUUAUAAUCCCUUUUCAACCCUGAA